rnacentral:rRNA from 1 species
UCUUUCUUUGCUGGCGACCGGCGCACGGGUGAGUAACACGUAUCCAACCUGCCCUUUACUCGGGGAUAGCCUUUCGAAAGAAAGAUUAAUACCCGAUAGCAUAAUGAUUCCGCAUGGUUUCAUUAUUAAAGGAUUCCGGUAAAGGAUGGGGAUGCGUUCCAUUAGGUAGUAGGCGGGGUAACGGCCCACCUAGUCAACGAUGGAUAGGGGUUCUGAGAGGAAGGUCCCCCACAUUGGAACUGAGACACGGUCCAA